AUUAAACGCUGGCGGCAUGCCUUACACAUGCAAGUCGAACGGCAGCACGGGGGCAACCCUGGUGGCGAGUGGCGGACGGGUGAGUAAAGCAUCGGAACGUAUCCUGGAGUGGGGGGAUAACGUAGCGAAAGUUACGCUAAUACCGCAUAUUCUGUGAGCAGGAAAGCAGGGGAUCGCAAGACCUUGCGCUCUGGGAGCGGCCGAUGUCGGAUUAGCUAGUUGGUGGGGUAAAGGCCUACCAAGGCGACGAUCCGUAGCGGGUCUGAGAGGAUGAUCCGCCACACUGGGACUGAGACACGGCCCAGACUCCUACGGGAGGCAGCAGUGGGGAAUUUUGGACAAUGGGCGGAAGCCUGAUCCAGCCAUGCCGCGUGAGUGAAGAAGGCCUUCGGGUU
rnacentral:rRNA from 1 species